rnacentral:rRNA from 1 species
UUAAGCGACUAAGCGUACACGGUGGAUGCCCUGGCAGUCAGAGGCGAUGAAGGACGUGCUAAUCUGCGAAAAGCGUCGGUAAGGUGAUAUGAACCGUUAUAGCCGGCGAUGUCCGAAUGGGGAAACCCAGUGCAAUUCGUUGCACUAUCGUUAACUGAAUACAUAGGUUAACGAGGCGAACCGGGGGAACUGAAACAUCUAAGUACCCCGAGGAAAAGAAAUCAACCGAGAUUCCCCCAGUAGCGGCGAGCGAACGGGGAGCAGCCCAGAGUCUGAAUCAGCUUGUGUGUUAGUGGAACGGUCUGGAAAGUCCGACGGUACAGGGUGAUAGUCCCGUACACCAAAAUGCACAGGCUGUGAACUCGAAGAGUAGGGCGGGACACGUGGUAUCCUGUCUGAAUAUGGGGGGACCAUCCUCCAAGGCUAAAUACUCCUGACUGACCGAUAGUGAACCAGUACCGUGAGGGAAAGGCGAAAAGAACCCCGGCGAGGGGAGUGAAAAAGAACCUGAAACCGUGUACGUACAAGCAGUGGGAGCACCUUCGGGUGUGACUGCGUACCUUUUGUAUAAUGGGUCAGCGACUUAUAUUCUGUAGCAAGGUUAACCGUAUAGGGGAGCCGCAGGGAAACCGAGUCUUAACUGGGCGUUAAGUUGCAGGGUAUAGACCCGAAACCCGGUGAUCUAGCCAUGGGCAGGUUGAAGGUUGGGUAACACUAACUGGAGGACCGAACCGACUAAUGUUGAAAAAUUAGCGGAUGACUUGUGGCUGGGGGUGAAAGGCCAAUCAAACCGGGAGAUAGCUGGUUCUCCCCGAAAGCUAUUUAGGUAGCGCCUCGUGAAUUCAUCUUCGGGGGUAGAGCACUGUUUCGGCUAGGGGGUCAUCCCGACUUACCAACCCGAUGCAAACUACGAAUACCGAAGAAUGUUAUCACGGGAGACACACGGCGGGUGCUAACGUCCGUCGUGAAGAGGGAAACAACCCAGACCGCCAGCUAAGGUCCCAAAGUCAUGGUUAAGUGGGAAACGAUGUGGGAAGGCACAGACAGCCAGGAUGUUGGCUUAGAAGCAGCCAUCAUUUAAAGAAAGCGUAAUAGCUCACUGGUCGAGUCGGCCUGCGCGGAAGAUGUAACGGGGCUAAACCAUGCACCGAAGCUGCGGCAGCGACACUAUGUGUUGUUGGGUAGGGGAGCGUUCUGUAAGCCUGCGAAGGUGACCUGUGAGGGUUGCUGGAGGUAUCAGAAGUGCGAAUGCUGACAUAAGUAACGAUAAAGCGGGUGAAAAGCCCGCUCGCCGGAAGACCAAGGGUUCCUGUCCAACGUUAAUCGGGGCAGGGUGAGUCGACCCCUAAGGCGAGGCCGAAAGGCGUAGUCGAUGGGAAACAGGUUAAUAUUCCUGUACUUGGUGUUACUGCGAAGGGGGGACGGAGAAGGCUAUGUUAGCCGGGCGACGGUUGUCCCGGUUUAAGCAUGUAGGCUGGUUGUCCAGGCAAAUCCGGAUAAUCAAGGCUGAGGUGUGAUGACGAGGCACUACGGUGCUGAAGUAACAAAUGCCCUGCUUCCAGGAAAAGCCUCUAAGCAUCAGGUAACAUUGAAUCGUACCCCAAACCGACACAGGUGGUCAGGUAGAGAAUACCAAGGCGCUUGAGAGAACUCGGGUGAAGGAACUAGGCAAAAUGGUGCCGUAACUUCGGGAGAAGGCACGCUGGUGUGUAGGUGAAGCCCCUGCGGGUGGAGCUGAGACCAGUCGAAGAUACCAGCUGGCUGCAACUGUUUAUUAAAAACACAGCACUGUGCAAACACGAAAGUGGACGUAUACGGUGUGACGCCUGCCCGGUGCCGGAAGGUUAAUUGAUGGGGUUAUCCGUAAGGAGAAGCUCUUGAUCGAAGCCCCGGUAAACGGCGGCCGUAACUAUAACGGUCCUAAGGUAGCGAAAUUCCUUGUCGGGUAAGUUCCGACCUGCACGAAUGGCGUAAUGAUGGCCAGGCUGUCUCCACCCGAGACUCAGUGAAAUUGAACUCGCUGUGAAGAUGCAGUGUACCCGCGGCAAGACGGAAAGACCCCGUGAACCUUUACUAUAGCUUGACACUGAACAUUGAGCCUUGAUGUGUAGGAUAGGUGGGAGGCUUUGAAGCGUGGACGCCAGUCUGCGUGGAGCCAACCUUGAAAUACCACCCUUUAAUGUUUGAUGUUCUAACGUUGGCCCCUGACCGGGGUUGCGGACAGUGUCUGGUGGGUAGUUUGACUGGGGCGGUCUCCUCCCAAAGCGUAACGGAGGAGCACGAAGGUUAGCUAAUCCUGGUCGGACAUCAGGAGGUUAGUGCAAUGGCAUAAGCUAGCUUGACUGCGAGCGUGACGGCGCGAGCAGGUGCGAAAGCAGGUCAUAGUGAUCCGGUGGUUCUGAAUGGAAGGGCCAUCGCUCAACGGAUAAAAGGUACUCCGGGGAUAACAGGCUGAUACCGCCCAAGAGUUCAUAUCGACGGCGGUGUUUGGCACCUCGAUGUCGGCUCAUCACAUCCUGGGGCUGAAGUAGGUCCCAAGGGUAUGGCUGUUCGCCAUUUAAAGUGGUACGCGAGCUGGGUUUAGAACGUCGUGAGACAGUUCGGUCCCUAUCUGCCGUGGGCGCUGGAGAAUUGAGGGGGGCUGCUCCUAGUACGAGAGGACCGGAGUGGACGCAUCACUGGUGUUCGGGUUGUCAUGCCAAUGGCACUGCCCGGUAGCUAAAUGCGGAAGAGAUAAGUGCUGAAAGCAUCUAAGCACGAAACUUGCCCCGAGAUGAGUUCUCCCUGAGACUUUAAGUCUCCUGAAGGAACGUUGAAGACGACGACGUUGAUAGGCCGGGUGUGUAAGCGCAGCGAUGCGUUGAGCUAACCGGUACUAAUGAACCGUGAGGCUUAACCUU